rnacentral:ncRNA from 20 species
AAGGCGCCCAGUGAAGCCCCCAUGUCCUCGAGGGGAGUGGCAGGUGAGCCGCUCCCGUAGACUGCGCGGGGAG